GACGAACGCUGGCGGCGUGCUUAACACAUGCAAGUCGAACGAUGAAGCUGGAGCUUGCUCUAGCGGAUUAGUGGCGAACGGGUGAGUAACACGUGAGCAAUCUGCCCUUGACUCUGGGAUAACUGCGGGAAACUGUAGCUAAUACCGGAUACUUUCACCGGGGGGCAUCCUCUGGUGAUGAAAGAAUUUCGGUCAAGGAUGAGCUCGCGGCCUAUCAGCUUGUUGGUGAGGUAACGGCUCACCAAGGCGACGACGGGUAACCGGCCUGAGAGGGUGACCGGUCACACUGGGACUGAGACACGGCCCAGACUCCUACGGGAGGCAGCAGUGGGGAAUAUUGCACAAUGGGCGCAAGCCUGAUGCAGCGACGCCGCGUGAGGGAUGAAGGCCUUCGGGUUGUAAACCUCUUUCAGCAUCGACGAAGCGAAAGUGACGGUAGGUGCAGAAGAAGGACCGGCCAACUACGUGCCAGCCGCCGCCGUAA
rnacentral:rRNA from 1 species